CUUUCUCAUGGCUAAUUUGAGAUUCUGGUUAUUUAAGGAGCCAGAGAUGGAAGCCAGAUGACUCAGCUCCGGAUUGGGGAGGGAUUUCCUUAGAAGACCUCUCAGUUUGUGGGAGCGCAGACCAACGUGAGCGUGUACAGUGCGUGCUCGUCAAGCCUGGCUACCCUGAGGCUCGUCAUGCCUCCCACUCUGAGCUGCUCGCUCAACACCUCAUCUUCCUUCCCACCGCGGCCCUUGCUCAGUAAAACCAGCAGAAGCCACAGUUGACGGCAUCUGGUCAGGGAGGGAGGGAUCUGAGCAGCUGUGGCUGGUGUCCACUGUGACUGCAGCAUGGUUUUCUGGCCACGCCUGCGGAGCGUGGCAGGGUCGGGCCCCAUCCUUGUGCUUGUAACCUGAAGUCAGACCUCGCUGCUGUUGGGACUCUUCUUAAGAUGGGCUUUUCAACCCUGCGGCAGCUGCCAUUUCCGGCGCUGCGGGUCCCACACUGGCCGGUCCCUCCACAUCAUGCCUCCUCCUGGAUCUUUGAGAGGCUGGGGAUACCCAUGACAGUCACCUGCUGUGGUUGGGAGGUGCAUUCUCGGGGGCAGUCCUGAGGGUUGGCCUGAAGACGUGGGGGCUCAGAGCUGUGAGGUCCCUGCCAGCAUGGUCCCUCCAUGUGUUCCCUGGUGCCAGCGGACUGCUCCUCACUUUGAAUGUUUCAGCACACAGAGCGUUCACGUAAUGAAACAACCCGAGGGCUUCAUCAUAUUAAGAUCAAAUUCUACGACAGAAGCAUUUGAAUUGGGCUUGCUGCAUGCCAGGUGCUGCUGUAGGUACUCUACCUGCAUCUUCUCAUUUGAUCCUCAGCAACCGUGGGGGGCUGCACUCAUGGGCGAGCAGGUCUCUGUGCGAAGACGCAGCCAUGCAGUGGGGGUCCCACGCCAGCUCCAGCCUGCCCCUGCCACACCUGCAGGCACAUUCAAGCCACAGGCCCGCUGCCCCUUGCAUGCAGAGGGUGGCUGGUCUCCCCGAAGUCAGCUCUUGUGCUCUCUCUGGCCCCACCAUGGGGCAUCAUCUCACACAACACCCAGAGUAAGGGCCCAGCAUUUAAAGAGAUGAGUGUGAAAAGCACGUCCACAGUCAGAGUCCCGUGUACUCUCGCGUCGUUCCCAAGGCUACAAAGAGAAAAACCAACAGCAACAGAACAGUAACGACAAGCUGCAAACCAAAGGCAUAGGCAGCACACAAAGGGUUAACAUCUUGCCCGGUUUAAGAGCCAGAGAUUAACAUCACGAAGAAAACUGCGAAUUACAAAAGAUAACAAGGUGCCAUGUUUCAUUAUCGGGGACCAGCGAACACCGAAAAGAAAGCUAUGCCCGGGGUGGGGGCUGCUGGAGGACACAGGGCGGUCACUGCUUCCUGCGGGAUGCUCUAGCCAGGCCCAUCCUGCAGGGGGAUUUAAAUUUAAACAUGUGUGCAACAUCUUCAAAUGUAUCCUGCGGAGACACCAGAUCACAGCCUUUUUAUAAUAGCUCAGAUCUGGACAACCCGAAUGGCCAGCGCCAGCCUCACCCAGUGCCGUUCUCAUCCAACCACGGCAUUCUACACGAGUGUUGCAACCAUCCGGCUCUUCAUUUAGGACCUUAAGACCUGCUAAUGAUAUAAUCGUUAUGUGAAAAGACGUGCACAGGGCCUUGCGGGUCACAAGGUCACAGCACGAAGUGCAUGUGUAGUUUCGUUCGUCCGCAGAGGUACAGGCGUGAGUCAUCACCUGGGCGAUGGGGUUACAAGUGGCUUUUUCUCCUUUUUGCUUAUUUUUCUUGUUUAUAUUUUUCUGCGAUGAAUACGAGUAACAUAUAGCAAAGUGUAAAACAGUUUUCCCACAGCGUGAGCAGAGUCUCCGUGCCAUUUCCCAGACCUCCGCCCACUGGGAGCUCGGUCUGCAUCCUGGCUCCUGCCCUGUCCCCUGCCCGAGCUCUGCUGAAGAGCGAAGCAAAAUGUCCCCGAGGAAGGGGCCUCACCAGCUCCCGCACUGGAGGAGCCUCUGAGCGCAAUGGACUGGAGUCUGACCGAGCUGGUCACACAAGCCCCCGCUGACCACCUGCCAUGGGCUGGGACAUCUUGGAGUCUGACCGAGCUGGUCACACAAGCCCCUGCUGACCACCUGCCAUGGGCUGGGACAUCUUGGGGACGGAAUGUUCUGGAACCACAGCAGUAGGUCAGACGGGAACUCUGGCACAGACGCCCCCUCUCUGAAUUCUUGUCCAGAUCCCAAUAUGGAUACAAAACAUGGCAAGUAUGAGCUGAGGCUUAGCAAAGCCGCAUAAAUCCAUCGCUGCUGCGAAAACAACUCGAAUGACAUGGUGUUGGGAACAAGAGCCAUGCAGAAUUCUGCGCCUGGGAACGACAUUGCUACAGCAGUCCUGCUUGCACAACAGAGGCGAGUAUCAUGAGGUGGACGGGAAAGCCUGAAGUCUUAGCGGAAUUUCAGGAGAAGGAAUGAAAGGACGUCCUGUAACUUAGUGAGCGUGUUAGGCCACGGCCGCAACAGACAGACACGCACGUGUGUCACGGCCCGAGUGGAAGAGCGGCGUGUUUGUUAUUGGUGAGAGCAGGACAAACAGGGCCUGACUGGAGCGGGGCUUGGGGACCGGGAGGUUUGGGUGGGGGGAGUCUCUCCCUAGGUGGCACUCAGGGGCCCAGCUGAGGAAGGCUUCCCUGUCUUCCUUCACAGGUGACUUUGGGGUCCCUGGAGCUGCUUCCCUGGCCAAGCUGCGGAGAGGCUGUGAGCCCCUUUGGAAGCCAGGGGGCGUCCCUCCUGCUCACGGCCCGAUGGCUGCAGCCCAGCCCAAGCCCACCCAGCUACAGGGGAGCCCGGAUGGGUCCAGGUGUGCCCAGGAACAAGGGAAGGGACAAGAGUUCAAAGCAGACAGCAGCAUCCACCUGCACUCAUAGUUAACAGUUGACUAUUUUGACACUUGAGAAUGUUUUCUAGAAUAAAAAGGAGUAAGAAAAGGUUGAAUUUGGCAAAGACAUAGGUAUAAAUUCAUGAGAGGACACGGCAGGUCACUUCCACUGCCUUAGAAAUCUGGAAAUGAGGAAAUUCCAAGACCCAUGAGUCUGGCAUUUAUCAACGAUUUUUUCUUUCCAUGACAAAUGUAGAGGUAUAAUUAUUUUGUGAGCACACAGAAAACCAUAACAAUUUUAGACUCGCAAAUUACUAAAAAGUACUGAUCUACGUGGUUCUUUUCAACCAAAAUUAAUGUAAAUAACAUAAAAAUGUUGAAUUAAAGAUUUAUUUUCCAAAAAGGACUUUUGUAGCAGACAUUGUGUAUCUUUGGUGACUUUUAAUUUUUUAAACAAAAUUUCCUCGUUUUCUUCCAAUGUGUUUUUUCCAUUUUUUAAAAUUUUUUGAUCCUCAUACAACUUGCUCUGACCACACUUAUUUUUCUAAAUUCUUUUGUAAUCAAAUGCUGUGUUUUCAUUUUGUACACAAACAAUGUGAGCCUUACCUUGACCAAGAAGCCUAUAGACGAAUGUCCAACGAAUGUCCACCAGAUGGGCUGGUGUCUGGCACUCCCUGCCCAGUUGGUACUUCCUAGAAACGGACUGGGUGGGGGCGAGGUAGGGGAACCAUCUGCCUCACGGUCCUUAGCAUCUAGAAAAGGAGGCGAUUCAAAGGCAGAGGGAAGUAUCCUUCUUAUCGGAGUUGCUUUCAAGUCGAAGGACUUUAGAUGGGAAAUUCCAAUCAGCAGAAGGUAAAUCUAGCUUGUAAGCAUAAUCAUUGCUUUAUUAGUUGAUAAUGCUUUUUAAUCAAUACAUGUUUAGCAUGGAAAACCCAAAAUCAGUUUUUAAACUGCAGCUAUUGACUAUGGAAUUUCCCUUGCAAAUGACUUCUCACCAAAUGAAUAUAUCAUCUAGAGAUGGGACUCUAUUUUAGGGGGUUACUUUCUUUAGAUAGUGGAAUGCCUGGAGACCACAACCAGAUCUGAGAACGUCGUAUCUUGGUUUUAGUGGAGCAGACAGCCAAUUUCUCAGACUUAGGGCUUAAAAAAUGUUGAAAUGUACUCCACAGAAAAAUCUCAAAAGUUAACCAUUCAAACUCACAUUGGCCUAAGAAACAUUUUUAGACAUAAAAGCAACUCUAAAAUUCUGCUUUAUAGGGCUCUUCUGAGAAUACGAUUAUGCAAUCACUAAGUGGAAGUGGCUCUUUGCUAUGGUUUCUGGCUGCCCUGUCUCACCACUGUAGCUUUUGGAUACAAAAUGAGAAUGGCCAGCCUGGAAGGAGUGAUGGC
rnacentral:lncRNA from 1 species